CCGUGCCGCCUGUCCGCCUGUGGGACCUGCUCCGUGGGCUUUUCAUCAGCUGCCAUUUUCACCAGCAUGCAGUAAUUUCAUGGCUCAUUGCAAGCGCUGAAAACCUUUGAAACUGCAAAUGUUAACUUUUGCCUGGCCCGGAGCCAUUUAGAAAGCGAUUAAUUCGGCAAACAGACGUGAGCCACUUUCUCCUCCCAAGUUUUCACAUAAUUUUCCGACCCUUUCUAUCUGGGAUUUGCAUUGCAGGGAACUCGCAGGACAAGGAUAAUAACCAUUCCUGUUAAUUGUGGUUUGGUGAAGACACAAGGCCUGUCGCUCUACAGUCUGAUCUGCCCGUUUGUCCCAAUCUAGUCCAGAACAGGAAGAAUGGACAAAGAAUCAGAUCAAGAAUGAGAGAAAAACAUGUACAAGGAUCUUGGAAGGCAGUGGAUGAAAUGCUGUUGAGUGAUCGAGACUGAGGAACAUUUCUGGAUGGCAUGAAGGUUGACAUGGCCGCGGUCCAAGAUCAUCGUGCCCGAGACCACACAGAUGGGGAUGAGAUAAAACUUCUAAAUUCUCUUUUGUGUGCCACAGAAAAAUCACAUCUUGGAAAGUGUUGCACUCAACACCGUUUUCAGAGAAGAAAGACGAGGAGAAACCACAAACAAACUUCAUCAGUUCUCGCAUGUAUCAUGAAAAUGCCAGGUUUGAAUAUGUGAGCGUGGAGUUCAAGGCUUUAAGAACCACAGGGUCAAACUCCUAGAGAACAAAACACAAACCGAAGAAGAGCUUCAAAAUGGAGGGAUGAGAAUCAGCGGUGAAAGAGAGGAAAGGACGAGUGCAGAGAAAACAAAGAAACGGAGGAACAACACAGAGAAGAAGGGAAGAAAAAAAGCCAGAGAGAAGAAGAAAUGAAACCUGUUUUCAGACGUAAUCCAACCUUGAACGAUAUGAAAAGACAGAAAGGACAGGGUGGCCCUGCACUUGCCCGGGGUCACUUAAUUAAUUUGGAGGUGCUCGUUAAUACAAACCACACGCGCUGCCCCUGACCUGCCACAGGAGCUCACAGGAGGGCCAGAGAAGUCAUAUUCAGCCUCAUUCAGAAUUACAUGAAACAACAGACUGUAACAGCUGUGGCCUUCAAAUGAAAUGUUAGUGAAAACCACACAAGCACACAAUAGAAAUGAACAUAUAUGCAGCAUAUUACUCUUAUUACAGGGGGUCCAGAGUUCAAGGGAACAGCUGUGAAUGAAUUGAGAAUAUAUUGUGCUUUUUAACAUGGAAAUUAAUAGCUUUUUACAGAAAUGUCAGAAUGCCUGUAGGUCCAGACUGUACGCUUUAAAUUGGCUAAAAGUUUAACUCCCUCCUUUUCUCACAAACUGGGCAUCUAGUUACGUUCCUGAAAGAAUAUUAUCUACAGAGCUUAGAAAAGAUUAGAUGAGAAUGUCUGUCUGUCUGUCUGUCUGUCUGUCUGUCUGUCUAUCUAUCUAUCUAUCUAUCUAUCUAUCAAAACCAGCAUGAAAUUCUCUUCACCUAAAAAUCAUGUAAUAUAAAAUGAAGGGAGGAAUGUAAUGUGUGCUAAAUGACUCACUGACACUAAUUUUCAGAGCAUGAAACAUCACGUGCUACCCUUUUUUUUUCCCUUUUUUUUUGUUUGUUUAAAUCUGUAUUCAAUGAGAGGUUACAUGGUAUUAAAUUUUGUUAAAAUAUGAACCAUUUGGAAUAAUAUGCACAUGUGAAAAUUAUCAAUAAAAUUAUUAAUAUUAAUAUAAUUCAUUAAUAUAAUCACUUAUGAACAAUAUUCAUAAGUGUCAUUGAUAAACAUGCUCAGUUUAAAGGGGACCUAUAAUGCCCCUUUUCACAAGAUAUAAGUCUCUUGUGUCCCUAGAAUGUGUCUGUGAAGUUUGAGCUCAAAAUACCCCACAGAUCAUUUAUUAAAGCUUGUCAAAUUUGCUCCUAUUCGGGUGUGAGCAAAAAUAUGUUGUUUUUGUGUGUGUCCCUAUAAAUGCAAAUGAGCUGCUGCUUACUUUCCAAAAGAGGGCGGAGCUUUAACAGCUCGCGCUUCGGUUGCUCAACAACAACAAAGCUGGAGAAUCUCACGCAGCCAAAAUGAGGAUUGUCAGUAACGGUGUUCAGCCUUACAUUGUUCAAACCGGAGUCGGACACUGAUGGAGAGACUCAGGAAGAAGUUACAACUUUUAGAAUGCAACAUUUCUGAAUGGUUAGUGGAUAAAUUUAUGUAGUUGCUGGGAAGAACCCGGGAAGAAGCUCAUUGUAGUCCCUACCAGCUGUUUGUUGUAGUCCUUAAAAAGUGUUUUCUGUAAAAGAAAAUAUCUCCCUUUGCAUUGAACUUUGAGUGUCGUAACUUUGCAGAUGUUAUUUAUGCUCAAACAGCAACAUUACACACUAACUAAAGUUAAAAAGGUGAAAUCAUAAUCAAGGACCCCUUUAAAUUUUAUGUUGGCAUGAGCCUCAGUGUACCACUGAUGGCACCAAGUGGAAUUGCAAAAAAUAAUGAUUGGCUGCCAUUGGUUCAUCCUAAUUUUUAGUCCCACCCCAAACUCAGGCCAUUGGUUGAGUGAGAAGUUGACAUAUCAAACAACAGAGCAAUGUUUGAAUGUGUCACAAAAAUUACUGCUUUAAAUUUGCAAUUAGAGUACAACAGAAAUCAAGUUGUAAUGAACAUGAGCUUUAAAACAUUACAAAUAAUUAAAUGAUAAAAAUUUGAUAUAGAUUUUUCACCACAAUUUUAGAACUCAGCUCUGAAUCGCUAACGUUAUUCUCCUUCAUGGUUCGAGCUCGCAGCCCGCCAGCGCUGGAGCAGAGGAUGCUGGGAAGAGCACACUUCUUGCCAGAGUGUAAUGGCUGGUGAAAGCAGAAGCAAACUGCACAGAGGCAGAUAAAGGUUUCCUCAAGGUGCAGCUCUGUUGACUAGUUAACCCCUUGAAAUUAUGCCGUAGUUUCAGACUCCGUUCCAAAGUCCUGGAAUUGGGUUACAAGAUAAUUUCACAGGCGACUUGCUUGUCUUACUUGGCAGUUCAACUGGCUAAUUGAAGAAGGCGAUUUCCGGGCCCUGAAACUGUUUAAGAAAUGAUACUUUAAAUUUGAGUAAAGAGAUUUUCUGUGACGUAGACGUUGCAGGAUUUUGGAAUAUAUAUGAAUGUAUUUUUCACCAAAUGCAUGAUGAAAGUAGCACAUUGAAAGUCUUCAGUUAGUUGAAGAUCAGUUUUGAGGUAAAAUGUAUGCACUUUUCUCAUUUGCAUUUUUGCCUUAUGGAUUUCCAAAAUUUUGAUUUCUAGACUUGGAAAAGUCAUUGAAAUUUUUUUUUUUUUUUCUUUCUUUUUCUAGUUAUGGUAAUCUGUAAAAUAUUUCAUUGCCUGGACAUGCAAUUUCUAUUAAAUUACUUCUAAAAAAAUCUCAUCUGUAAUCACAAAGGAAAUCAUGGAAAUUCAUUUGACCUACCAUUUAUAUGCACCCCUCUCUAUUUUAUUGCUUUUUCAUUUUAUUUCUAAAACUGUUUCUGACACUUUAAACUCUUUUUGAAUAGGACAUACAAUCAUUCUGUACGUUCUUUUUUGUAUACGUUAGAGAGAUUUGUAUUGUGCUUUAAAAAUAAACUUCAACUGCAUCGAAUCAAUACAUUUUUUUUUUUUUUAAUUAAUUCACAAAAUAUUCCUCUGAAAUGCACAAAAAAUGUCCCAUCAAAAUUAAAUUAGAAGAUUCCACACACACUACAUUUUUAUUCAGAUAGCAUGUGAGAGGGUGUUUUAUGGUGCACAGAAACUGCAUAUGAAUCUGAGACAAUGUCAAGUUAUGGUCAGAUUUAAAAGAAUUACACUACUAAUCAAAGGUUAAUUCUUUUUACAGGAUUGUUUUUUUUAGACG